UUGUUGGUAAGGUAAAAGCUUACCAAGGCUUCGAUCAGUAGCUGGUCUGGGAGGACGACCAGCCACACUGGGACUGAGACACGGCCCAGACUCCUACGGGAGGCAGCAGUGGGGAAUUUUGGACAAUGGGGGCAACCCUGAUCCAGCCAUGCCGCGUGAGUGAAGAAGGCCUUCGGGUUGUAAAGCUCUUUCAGCCGGAACGAAACGGUUACGGAUAACACCCGUGACUACUGACGGUACCGGAAGAAGAAGCACCGGCUAACUACGUGCCAGCAGCCGCGGUAAUACGUAGGGUGCGAGCGUUAAUCGGAAUUACUGGGCGUAAAGCGUGCGCAGGUGGUUUUGUAAGUCAGAUGUGAAAGCCCCGGGCUCAACCUGGGAACUGCGUUUGAAACUACAAGACUAGAGUGUGGCAGAGGGGGGUGGAAUUCCGCGUGUAGCAGUGAAAUGCGUAGAGAUGUGGAGGAACACCGAUGGCGAAGGCAGCCCCCUGGGUCAACACUGACGCUCAGGCACGAAAGCAUGGGGAGCAAACAGGAUUAGAUACCCUGGUAGUCCAUGCCCUAAACGAUGUCAACUAGUUGUCGGGCCUUUACGGGCUUGGUAACGUAGCUAACGCGUGAAGUUGACCGCCUGGGGAGUACGAUCGCAAGAUUAAAACUCAAAUGAAUUGACGGGGACCCGCACAAGCGGUGGAUUAUGUGGAUUAAUUCGAUGCAACGCGAAAAACCUUACCUACCCUUGACAUGUAUCGAAGCCCGCAGAAAAGCGGGGGUGCCCGAAAGGGAACGAUAACACAGGUGCUGCAUGGCUGUCGUCAGCUCGUGUCGUGAGAUGUUGGGUUAAGUCCCGCAACGAGCGCAACCCUUGUCAUUAAUUGCCAUCAUUUAGUUGGGCACUUUAAUGAGACUGCCGG
rnacentral:rRNA from 1 species